rnacentral:rRNA from 1 species
CUGGCGGCAGGCUUACCGUGCAAGUCGAACGGUAGCAGGAGAAAGCUUGCUUUCUUGCUGACGAGUGGCGGACGGGUGAGUAAUGCUUGGGAAUCUGGCUUAUGGAGGGGGACAACUACUGGAAACGGUAGCUAAUACCGCGUAAUAUCGGAAGAUUAAAGGGUGGGACCUUUGGGCCACCUGCCAUAAGAUGAGCCCAAGUGGGAUUAGGUAGUUGGUGGGGUAAAGGCCUACCAAGCCGACGAUCUCUAGCUGGUCUGAGAGGAUGGCCAGCCACACUGGAACUGAGACACGGUCCAGACUCCUACGGGAGGCAACACUGGGGAAUAUUGCACAAUGGGGGGAACCCUGAUGCAGCCAUGCCGCGUGAAUGAAGAAGGCCUUCGGGUUGUAAAGUUCUUUCGGUGAUGAGGAAGGUGUUUUGUUUAAUAGACAAAGCAAUUGACGUUAGUCACAGAAGAAGCACCGGCUAACUCCGUGCCAGCAGCCGCGGAUAU